UGCAGGGGGAGCCCCACAUCCUGCCAGCCCUGCACCAGGCGCUCUGGGGGGGGAGAUGGGAUGAGACCUCUGUGCCCCCCCAGGUACCCUCCCAGCCUCCCCCCGCUGCCCCAAUCUCCCCUCCCCCUGGGAUCUUCAUCCUUCACCGACUGCCCCCCCCAGGUACCCUCCCAGCCUCCCCCCGCUGCCCCAAUCUCCCCUCCCCCUGGGAUCUUCAUCCUUCACCGACUGCCCCCCCCCAGGUACCCUGCCAGCCUCCCCCCGCUGCCCCAAUCUCCCCUCCCCCUGGGAUCUUCAUCCUUCACCGACUGCCCC